ensembl:lncRNA
UGGAUUAGGGUAUGGUUAGGGUUAGAAUUAGUGUUAGGGUUAGGGUUAUGUUUAGGGUUAGGUUUAGUGUUAGGGUUAUGGUUUGGGUAGGGUAGUGUUAGGGUUAUGGUUAGUGUUUGGGUUAGGGUAGGCUUAGUGUUAGGGUUAGGGUUAGUCUUAAGGUUAGGGUUCGUGUAGGGUUAGGGUUAGGUUUAGGGUUAGUGUUAGGGUCAGGUUUAGGCUAAGGGUUAAUGUUAUUUUAGGGUUAGGGUUAGGGUUAGGGUAGGUCUAUGGUAGGUUUAGGGUUAAGGUUAGGUUUAGUGUAGGGUUAGGGUUAGGGUUAGGGUUAGGUUUAGGGUUAGUGUAGGGUUAUGGUUAGGGUUAGGGUUAGGGUUAGGGUUAGUGUUUGGGUUAGGGUUGUGUUAGGGUUAGUGUUAGGGUAAGAGUUAGUGUUAGGGUUAGGGUAGGGUUGGGGUUAGUGUUAGGGUUAGGGUUAGGGUUAGGGUUAGGGUUAGGGUUAGGGUUAGGGUUAGUGUUAGGGUCAGGGUUAGGGUUAGGGUUAGGGUUGUGGUUGGGGUUAGGAUUAGUUGUAGGCGGUUCGUGUUAGGGCUUGGUUUAGGGUUAGUUUUAGGGUUUGUGUAAUGUUUGGUUAGGUGUUAUGGUAAGGUUUAGGUUUCUGGUUCAGUGUACGCUAACGGUUUGGUUUAGCGUUAGGUUUAGGGUAAGGUGAGGGUUAGGGUUAUGUUUAGGGUCGGGUUCACGUUAGGGUUAGGGUAGGUUUCACAGUAGGGUUAGGGUUAGGGUAGUUUUUGGGUUACGUUUUGUGCAGGGUUAGGUUUAGGGUUAGGGUUAUAUUUAGAGUAACGGUUGUGGGUCGAGUCAGGGUUCGUGUAGUGUUAGGGUUAGCAUUAAGGAUUAGCGUUAGUGUUAGGGUUAGUUUUAGGUUAAGGUUAGGGUUCAGGGUAGGGAUAGGGUUAGAGUUGUGAUUAAGAUUUGGGUUAGGGUUGGGUUAGGGUUAGAGUUAGUGUUAGGUUUAUGUUUAGGGUUAGGUUUACUGUUAGGGUUAUGGUUUCGGUAGGGUAGUGUUAGGGUUAGGGUUAGUGUUUGGGUUAGGGUAGGUUAGGUUUAGGGUUAGGGUUAGGGUUAGGGUUAGGGUUCGUGUAGGGUUAGGGUUAGGUUUAGGGUUAGGGUUAGGGUUAGGUUUAGGCUAAGGGUUAGGGUUAGGUUAGGGUUAGGGUUAUUGUUAGGGUUAGGGUUAGGAUUAGCGUAUGGUUAGGAUUAGAGUAAGGGAUACGGUUAAAUUUAGUGUUAGGGUUAUGGAUAGGGUAUUUUGAAGGUAGGGUUUGGGUUAGGGUUAUGGUAAGGUUAGGAGUAGGGUUAGGGUUUUGGCUAAUGUAGGGUAAUGUUUAGGGCUCGGUUUAAGGUUAGGGUUUGUGUAUAGUUUACUGUUAGGGUAGUUUUAGGGUUAGGUAUAGGGCUUGGAUUAGGUUUUGGGUUAGGAUUGUAGUUAGGGUUACGAGUAGUGUUAAGUUAGUGUUAGGGCUUAGGUUAGGGUUAGGUUACAGUUAGGUUUAGGGUUAGUAUUACGUUUCGAGUUAGCAUUAGGGUUAGAGUUAGGAUAAGUGUUAUCUUUGGGUUUAGUGUUAGGGUUAGGGUUAAGUUUAGGGUAGGGUUAGGGUUAAGGUUAGUGUUGUAAACUAACAGAAAGCAACAGGUUAGGGUUAAGGUUACUUUUAGUUUUAGGUGUUGGGUUAGGGUAUGGGUUUUGGUUACGGUUAGGGCUAGGUUUAACUUUACGGUUAGCGUUAGGGUUAGUGUUAGGUUAAGGUUUAUGUUUAGGUUUAGGGUCAUGGUUAGGGUUAAGUUUAGGGUAGGGUUAGCGUUAAGUUUAGGGUUAGGGUUACGUUUAGGGUUAGGUGUUGGGUUAGGGUAUGUGUUAGUGUUAGGGUUAGGUUUAUGUUUAGGUUUAGGGUUAGUGUUAGGAGUAGGGUUAGGGUUAGGGAUAAGGGUUAGGGUUAGUGUUAGGGUUAGGUUUAAGGUAUUUGGGUUAGCAUUUAGUUUUAGGGUUAGGGGUUAUUUUAGGUCCAGUAUUAGGUUUAUAUAUACUAUAUAUA